rnacentral:rRNA from 1 species
UACGUAGGGGGCAAGCGUUGUCCGGAUUUAUUGGGCGUAAAGAGCGUGUAGGCGGCCAGGCAGGUCUGCUGUUAAAACUCGAGGCUCAACCUCGAGAGGUCGGUGGAAACCGUCUGGCUAGAGUCCGGAAGAGGAGAGUGGAAUUCCUGGUGUAGCGGUGAAAUGCGCAGAUAUCAGGAAGAACACCCGUGGCGAAGGCGGCUCUCUGGGACGGUACUGACGCUGAGACGCGAAAGCGUGGGGAGCGAACAGG